rnacentral:rRNA from 1 species
ACGCACGCUGGCGGCGUGCUUCACACCUGCCAGUCGAACGGAAAGGCCCUGCUUUUGUGGGGUGCUCGAGUGGCGAACGGGUGAGUAACACGUGAGUAACCUGCCCUUGACUUUGGGAUAACUUCAGGAAACUGGGGCUAAUACCAGAUAGGAGCUCCUGCUGCAUGGUGGGGGUUGGAAAGUUUCGGCGGUUGGGGAUGGACUCGCGGCUUAUCAGCUUGUUGGUGGGGUAGUGGCUUACCAAGGCUUUGACGGGUAGCCGGCCUGAGAGGGUGACCGGCCACAUUGGGACUGAGAUACGGCCCAGACUCCUACGGGAGGCAGCAGUGGGGAAUAUUGCACAAUGGGCGGAAGCCUGAUGCAGCAACGCCGCGUGCGGGAUGACGGCCUUCGGGUUGUAAACCGCUUUCGCCUGUGACGAAGCGUGAGUGACGGUAAUGGGUAAAGAAGCACCGGCUAACUACGUG